UCUCUUGUUUUAUUCUCUAUUUGAAAGAAAAAAAAAUUGUUUUGUUAUUUAGCGUACAACAACAAGAGCAUUUAUUUACAAUAGUGGUCAGGGCUCGUAGCAGUGACAGUGCACACUUCAGGUCUGUUUUGCUUAACAGCAUUUAAAAACAAAGCUUUGGUGGCAACACACAAAUACUCUAGCGGUCCUUUGGAUCAUAACUCUCUAAUUGAGUUACAAGGCCCAUUGUCUUUUCAAUAAACCGUUCAAAAAUCUCAAGACGACACACGAGCUGUGUUUUUUUUUCAAAAGAUAUUGUUUUUUGCUCAAACGAAGUCUUCAUGCGCUCAAUAUCAAAUUUCAGGCGAGCUAAUGUUUGAACCAUUAUCUUCUUCAUUGCCCAUGAUUAGUAACUUUAAUUUAAAAGCUUAUGACCUUUAAUUGGAAUAAAUGAUAAGCGAUAUCCAGCUAUCAACAAGAAAAUUUUAUUUCGAAUGUACACCUUAACCGCUCGACCUAUAUACAUACCCUUUUACCUAUGUAUGUGUACUAGGUAAGAUGUAAGUGCUCAGUUGAGAAGUCAAGCAAUUAAUGAAUUAUCUUCACGAAUUAACGGCCCACUCAAUGCACCAAGAUCAGUCGACAUCUUUGCUAAGCGACAGAAAAAAUAACUGUAAUCUCACAGCCGCUAACACCAAAGCGGAAUAAGCGAAUAGUACAAUUGCAAUGUAAGCGACUUUGAAAUUUGUGUACAAAAAUUGCAGCAACAACUCUAAAUUGUUGUACAAUAACGGCAAGACAAAUAAAUGUUGAUUGGCGAAAAAAUAACUGUACAUUUGAAGUUUCUAAAAAUUUCUAUGGCAAUCACACGAGCUUUCGGUUUGAAUCAAACGAAGCUUAAAUUUCUUCGUAUUGCGUGCACAAACUUUUGUAUUGAAAAAAUAUAAAAAAUUAACAAAUAAAGUCUUUUCCAGCAACAUUUGAAAAUAAAAUGAGAAAACCUGCUGUUAUGAGCCUAUUGAAUGGUCAAAAAGAAGACUUUCAUCACUCGCAAGGAUUGUCCAAUCGGAACAUUGCCAUAGAAAUAAAUUGAAGCUACACAAGUGUUGACAGAUAUUUGAAGGAUCCAGAGCACUACGGGGAACUUGACCUGCUUUUUUUUGGCAUAGCUUUUGCUAUUUAAAAAAAAAAUUUUUUUAGCAGAUUAAAAAUUGAUCAAAGACCACAAUGCCAUCAAAUUUAAAAUUUACACUCAUUCUUGAGGUGUGUACUAUGUGUUUCUACUAAUAUGUUGCUUAGCCAGUGAUGGAUGUUCUCGUUCCACUUUCAAAAUAAAAUUUCAACUUUGAAUAGAGUUUUACAAAAUUGUUGAAAUUUGUUCACUAAGUCCAUGUUAUAGAGUGAUUAAUUUCCUAUUUAGAACAUAUAGGUUUCAUACUUUUUGCGAAAAUUAAAUUUUGAGGUAGCAAUCUCUCAAUUAGCAAUGCGGCCCUCCUAGAAGCGUGGCGCACGCAUUUUUGGAGAUUUCGACGACAGACUUUUUGAAAUUAAACAAAGUUACCUGUCGUGUUUUAUGUCAAUUGUUGCAUUAAUGAAAAAUAAUAAUAAAUGAAAUAAUAAGCUGGAUAAUACCCGGCCUGGACGGAAUACAAGGCCCGUUGAACAUCAUAUGAGAUCUACCGCUGAAACGGCUUAUGACUUAUUUUUCGACGUUGAAAUAGAUACUGGGAAAUAUAUUGGGUAGAAAAAAAAAUCCUAAAGGUUAGUGGGGGCGAGGGGUAUGUGGGGGUGUUUUCGGAGGCGGUAAAGGUGUGUAUAAAACUAGACAAAAAAAUUAUCAUCGUAUCUUAAAUAGUUACCGAGAUAUUAAUUUAUGCCAAAUAAUCAGAUCAAAUUCCCCAUAGUGCAGAGGUAUAUGGAAAUAACUUCAAAGGGAAAAAAGGCACUAUCAAAACAAGCAGUACGCAAAAUUGUUAGAAUUACUUCGAAUUUGACUAGCUCAGCUGCUAAGAUCAAUGAAUUGGCCGGAGUAAUCGCAAGCCUUUCAACUAUUCAGCGUUCGACUAGAAAUGCAGAACACCUGAAGGAUCUAAAAAUCAAGAAAAAUACCCCUUUGAAUGCAAUACGCAAGGAAAAGCGGCUUUAAUGCGCAUCUCAACGUAAUUGGAUGUUUGGUGCGGGCUAACGCAAUACGAAGAUAAGGAAACAUUAGCUGCAGUUGUUAAACUUGUUUGCAGCGGGAUUUUCUUGAGCUACAUAGAUUACUUGUACCAGUCUAUGAAGGACCGGAUUUAUGAAGUUAUUACUAACAAAGAAGGCAGUACUCUUUACUGAAAUUGUUUUUUUCUUAUUUCAAAUACUUUUCUUAUAAAAUUUAAAAAGCAAAAGUGCGUAUAUUCUAAUGACCAAGAAUACUGCGCCUUAUUUUGAGUAGUUUUAAGAAAAUGUCUAAAAAACACAUUUUUGUUAAAUAUGUAUAAUAAUUUGAAUAUUAUACAUAAUAAAAGUAUCAUUAAAUAAGAAA